rnacentral:lncRNA from 1 species
CCAUGACCACCUCCCCGUGUUAGAGCCAUCUCAGCUUUAUGGGUCGCAUUGGUCGCCUCCUGAAAGGAAAUCUCGCUCCUGGCCCCUAUAGCCAUAUGGAGACCGACCAGCUAAGUCAACCUAUCAAUAAACCUCCGCAUCUUCUUUCUCUUGGUGGGGAGUAUAACAAUAGCAUAGCGUGCUAGAUAAAUAAAUGGGUCUCAUAUUGCGUGACUGUCAUAGCACCCUGAUGGAGGCGCUCAAACUGUCUGCAUCGAGCCUCUCGCUCACUAACUGGGAGAAACUUCACAAAAAACACCUCUGCAAACUGGUCCCAAGUUAGUGAUGGUGACCUUGAUUGUCUGGAUAAACAAUCGUCCCUCUACAAAGUCUUGGCGGAUCCUUCUAGUUGAAAGGUGGUGAAGUCGACCCCAUUGGUCUCCACAAUACCCAUAGUCCGGAGAACCUCAUGGCAACUGAAUAAGAAAUCCUGGGGGUCCUCUGUCAAGCACCGUUGAAUGUGGUGGUGAAGAGCUUGGUGAACCUAUCAAGCCUCCACAAAGCAUCUGCGGACAUCGCCACACCAUCACCGGUCUGAGUCGCAAUACGUGGCCGAGCUGGCAUAGCUGGCUGAACAGCUGGAACCUGGGCCUGAGGAGCUACAUGCUCUAGAGUACGUGUAGCGGGAGUCUAGACUCCUCCCCCCAGCCUGAGAAGUGGCUGGUGUACUCUAGCGGGAGUCUAGACUCCUCCCCCAGCCUGAGAAGUGGCUGAUGUUACGAGAAGAAAAUCCACUCUAGUGGUGCUCUCCAUAAGGUCCACCAAUCUGACAAAAGCGUCCUGGAGAAUAGGGGUGGCUAUGAACCCCUUUGGGACCUUAGCUGGGCCUACCAGAUCUUUUGGGGCUGGAACCUCCUCCUCAUAAUCAACAUGAGGCUCCACCUCUGGGAUUGCUGCUCGGGGCUGAGCUCUGCCUCGGCCUCUGGCACAGCCUCGGCCUCGCCCACUACCCCUCUUAGGAGUUGCUGCUAGGGGAUCGGGCUGAUGCACGGUAGAAGAGAAAACACGUGUUCUCGCCAACUGCAAAAGAACAGAGUAAAAAGACAAUCAGUAUUUGAGAAACAGAAUCGCAUAACAAGAAAGAACAAAAGUGAAGUAUUUCCUAACUUUGCAGCCUUUGGGGGAUAAAUACAGACGUCUCUGUACUGAUCCCUCAAACUCUACCAAGUUUGUCUGUGCAUUGUGAGACCAAUGUAACCUAGUGCUCUAAUACCAACUUUUCAUGACCAGGAUUUUUCACCAUCAAAAGUCGUGAUGGCGCCUACUAUUGGAUGUAUGAAUUAUCGCUAGUCGCGCAGUGCCAAACAAUAAGAAUUUGAGUUGAAAUUUUUUUUUUAUAUCUAAGAUGCGAAAAUGUAAACUAACCUAGAAAGCAAGUAAAAUGAUCAAUGACACUAAGAAUUUUUGUUGAAAAUUAUUUUUAUAUAUAAAGUGCGGAAAUGUAAACUAACCUAUAAAGCAAGUAAACUGAUGAAUGGCUACAAGUAUGAAAUCAUCGGGAAUUACACUCAAGUAACGAUCCAAUGUGUUUCACGAUUUUACAAAUAUGAGCGAGUUUAUGUUUAUUAGCCACGGAUAAUAAUUCUUAAUUAGCUUCUUCUGAAGACUAACAAGACUUCCUAAUUGAAUUUUUCCUAAUCACAAUUAGAAUAUUAAGCACACCCGAAAGGCUAUAAGUAGUUCAAUCCUAUCCUUAGGUAGAAUUUAUAAAAUGAGGAUUAACGCCUCAAGUCCUUGUUAAUUCAUCUUUCCCAACCCCAAACUAUUUUUUCCCAAAAUUAGUUCGGAGUUAAUGGGUGAGUCCUAGGGUUAGCUAAUCCCAUUGAAAACAUUAAAGAACAAGAAUAAUUAAAGAACAAUAACUCACUUCAUAUAUAUAGAAAAAUCAUUCAAUACAUAAGCACAACAAGGUAUAUAAUUCACACUUUAAUUAUGAAUAUUCCAUAAACAAGAUUCAAGUGUUGGAUAAAAUACUACACACUUAGAUAUACAAUACAAAGAAAGGAAAUGAAGAAAGAAACAUAAAUAGGUAAGAAAAUCUUAGCCACAAGCUUCAAUCUUCAAGAUACAUAUGGCUUCUCAAGGACUGACAUUGUCACAAUCUCAUUAUAUUAAGAUAGUACUUGAAAAAUUCAAGCACUUGGGAUUUAAAGUUUCAAAGACUCCAAUUUAUGUGAAUCUUGCAUUAGCAAAGAACAAAAGCCAGAGCAUAUCACAAUCGGAUUAUUCUCGUGUGCUGGGUUGCUUAAUAUACAUCAUGAAUUUGCAAAGAAUAAAGGCCAAAGCAUAUCACAAUUGGAUUAUGCUCGUGUGUUGGGAUACUUAAUGUACAUUAUGGAUUGUACACGACAAGAUAUAGCGUGUGCUAUAAGUAAAUUGUGUCGAUAUACGAGCAAUCCAGGUCAAUCUCAUUGGAUGGCCAUGAAACGAGUUUUGAGGUAUUUAGUACAUACCCAUGACUUUGCUUUGCACUAUAGUAAAUAUCUUGCAGUCAUUGAGGGAUACUAUGAUGCAAAUUGGAUCACCGGAUCAACUGAUUCUAAGUCCACAAGUGGAUAUAUAUUCACUAUUGGUGGAAGAGCGGUAUCUUGAAAGUCGUCCAAAGAAACUUGUAUUGCCCGCUCUACAAUAGGCUAAGUUCAUAGCCUUGGAUAAAGCCGGUGAAGAAGCUGAAUGGCUCCAUAAUUUCUUAGAAGAUAUUUCAUUUUGGCACAAACCGUCUGGAUAUAUGUUCACUAUUGUGGAGGAGCGGUAUAUGGGAAGUCGUCCAAACAAACUUGUAUUGCCCGCUCUACAAUAGAGGCUGAGUUCAUAGCCUUGGAUAAAGCGGGUGAAGAACCUGAAUGGCUUAGGAAUUUCUUAGAAGAUAUUCCAUUUUGGCCCAAAUAGUUCGCACCAAUAUGCAUACAUUUUGAUAGUCAAGAGGCAAUUGGAAGGGCUGGGAGCGUUAUGUAUAACGGUAAAUCUCGACAUAUACGACGAAGACAUAAAAUCUUUAGGAAUUACUCUCUAGAGGAAUGAUCACGAUUGACUAUGUAAAGUCAAGUGCUAAUGUGUCGGAUCCACUUACAAAAGGCCUAAGUAGAGAGGUAGUUGAGAAGUCAUCCAGGGGAAUGAGACUGUGGGAAUUAUCGCGAUUGACUAUGUAAAGUUAAGUGAUAAUGUGUCGGAUCCACUUUCAAAAGGCCUAACUAGAGAGGUAGUUGAGAAGUCACCAAGGGGAAUGGGAUUGUGGAUGAGAACAAGUCAUAGUGGCGGUAACUCUACCUAGAAGACUGGAGAUACCAAGAUCUAAGUUCAAGGAUAUUUAUGCUCUGGUAGUUUUGCAGAAACAACCAUUUUGAACAGUUUCACCUCUUUAGAUUCCAGCCCAAAUUUGGCUAUAAAUACAACACUAUUCUGCUCAAAAUUUCACUACGAAUUUCUGAGGUUUUUCUCCUUCUUUUGCAUACUUUUAGCAUACAAACAAAGCAAAAAGUAAGUGUGAUAUGCUACUGAUCUUUGUGUUCACUGAAACACUGGCGUUUGAAGUAAUACUACAGCAGUGUAUAAUUCGUUCUAUCCUGAGAGGAAAUAAACCAUAACCUUGGGUGCUAGAAGGGGAUUAAAUUCCUUAAGGAGACAUUGUGAAUUCAGUGGGCUCGAAUUGUUUCUGAUCAUUUUGUUUUAUGUCAUUUCUGUUUAUCAUAAUUUCUGUUUAUAUUAAUUUAUAUUUUCAGAAUUAUUUUACAAAUAUAGUUUACUAACAAUAAUGCUAGUAUAUAUUUAGAAUUCACGUUCUCAAACAUUUGUAGACAUGCUCAAGUGAAACAAACUUUAACUUUCAAAUGAGCGUUAUCCUAUCUGUGCUAACCUAGUUAAGCAUAAGUAGAAUAAAAAAACACUCGAUCAUACCCAUUACUGCCAAAAUAUAGGUUAUUACCUUUUUUAGUGACUUCAAAUAACAUGUCGCAGUAGAAUCUCGGACACCCUCAUGACACGACAAAUAUAAUCGGCAAGCUUAAGGUGAUAUUGGAAUAGCUGCAAGCAGGGGCGGAUCCAGCCUUUUGGUACUAAGUUCAUCUUAACCCAAUCUUUCUAUACGAAGCAUAUAUUUAUAUGUUAAAAUUCAUUAAAAUUGCAACAUAGUUGAUAUGAAAUCGUAAUUUUAAAAAUACAUAUAACAAAUUCAAUGCUGAACCUUUAAAGCUUCUUCUCAACCCAAUAGCUUCUUGGAUGACAUCCUUGCUGGGUUGGAAUUGAUUUAUAAAUCAUAAUACUCCCGUCCUAAAAGGAAUCUUGUCCUCAACGUUCUACUAGAGCAACAAUGCUAUUAUAAGGGAGAAGCUUUGAAGACCCAAUUGUGUGUCAGGUAGAAAGAUAUAACAAAUUACCUUGACAUAAGUUGUAAAUCACUUCAAUAACAAACUUUCCUUUUGGUAACAUAAUAUAUUACAUGAGCCCCUUCAGUGCGGUCAUAAUCUUGUUUUUCUCCAACAUAAUAUAUUCCUUCCUUAGUGUGUCACUUGAUGCUCGUGGUUACUCCACAUCCCCUGCGGUUCACCAGCCUUGCCAUGCUACUUAGCACCCAUAUCAAAAUUCUUUGGUGCAAAUACAAAAGUAGCCAAUACGCAUUUUAAAUGGAGUGUCAUGUCACUAUAAUACCUUGCUCCAAGCCUUUCUAAAAGGAGUUCUGAUUCUUCAUGCAAUUCGCACAACAAAACUGUAUAGAAAUUCAUCAUUGACUUCAAGCUGUAUAAUCAGUGUACUUAUUCCUCAAUUUCUAUUAUUAUAGUAUUGUCACGGCCCUAGUUCAUCAAGUGUGAACAUAUCAUGACGGCAUCUAGUCUUCACGAGUAGGUAAGCCUAACACAUUGCGCAAGUAACAAUAUUUAUGAAAUUUAUUAUCCAAAAGCGAAAUAACAUGAAUAAUGUAUAUUGUUGCCGCGUGGAACAUACACUUUAACACUUGACAUUAUGAAACUAUCCCAAAGACCGGGAAACCCACGGGCAACACAGGCUAAGAGUAAUACAGAAUACUGCUCUAAUCAUCCGAAAAAUUCUAUAACAAGGAAGAACAUAAUAGCAUCUAACUAACUAAAGGGAUAGAGUGACAGGGAGACUUUCCGGUCUGCAGACGUGGCAGAUAUACCUCAAUCUCCAAAAUGCUCCCUGCAACUACUGAUAAUGCGCCUGCGUAAAGGUACCUGGAUAUGCACAUGAAAAACAUGCGCAGAAAAGGCGUGAGUACACCACAACGGUACUCAGUAAGUGUCAAGCCUAACUUUGAUCGGGUAAUGACGAGGAAAGGUCGAGGCCCUACUGAGAUAAAAAUAUAAUAAUCAAUAGAAUAAGGAAAGAUCAUAUGGGAAUAACCUACUGCAAAGUGUUCCUAUAUGGCUUGGAGGUGUCGAAGAAGAUCUGAUGGAUGAUAGAUGAUCCAUUAAGUGUUUGAUUUCCAUUGUGAUUGGAUGGUUGCCCCGAAUUAUGGGUGCGUGAAGAAUCUUUUUAGGUCUCCUAGUUGGGGUGAAGUAAAUAGCGUGUUUUGGUUGAGUUCAGACUCAAAAAGACUAGUAGACUAUGCAAGGUGUAUAACGGUGGAAGGAUUAUGAAAAUAUUAUGUUGAGGCGAAGCAGGUGGGCUAUCUCCUGCGGAGUGUUCUAGCAUGGUAUGGUCGUUGUAUGCAUGUUAGAAAAUCUGUGUUUCAUAACUUAUAAAUGAUUGGGACAUAUUCUCACUAUGUAAUUGCGACAACAAUGGACUAAAAGUGUUAUGAGCUAUUGAAAUAUUUUGGUCUAUGUCUUCGAGCCAAGUUGGGGAGGUUUCCGUUAAUUAGCUAACUGCACGAUCAUGUGCUAUGCUGGUUCCAUUUCGAGAUAUGCUGGCGGAGCAGUUCUGGUUGCAAAAAUUUAGCCGAGGAUGGCAUGAGUGAAGCAAAAUUUUGACAAAGGUGAUAGGGUACUCUGUGUAAUUGGAGGCGGAAGUCCUCAUAUUCGGCUAUUGUGAUGGGGGAUCGUGUGUAUCGGAACCGUUUGGUGACUAUUGGGAUUUGGAGGCUAGAGCCAAUCUUUUGUUGCUAGCAUGCUAGAUUUUUGGAUGUUAUGUUGGAGUUUAUACCGGUUGUCUCACUGUUAGAUUAAUUAUGGACUAUUUUAUUAUGGGCUAUGCUGGAAAUGCCACUGUUUGAGUGGCGAGGUACAUUAGGUUCUGUUAUGGUGGAGCGGUUUAUCUUUCAAAGACCCAGCAGACAGCUGGGAGGGAUUGCUUUUCCUAUUGAACCUUAAUGAUGUAUGUCAGUGUAGAGGUUGCAAUUGUUGAUCCAGUUACGGCAUUAAGGGACUUUUCGGAUGCGUGUUCCAGUUUGGGUCGACUCCGUUAGCUCCGAAUUGUAUUGUCGAGGGAUAGGUUGACUCGACCAUUGUUGAGUGACCUUUGGAGCUUUUGACGAGAUUUUUAAGAGGUUUUUGACUGGGAAUCGAUUGGAGGUAAGUCCUAUGUCCUAGAAACAUCAUCUAAUUGUGAUUUCAACACCUAAAUUCAUGGAAUUUGAUUAAAAAGGGAAGAAGUAGGACUUGGGUUUUUUAUAUCCCAACACCUAAAUUCAUGGAAUUUAGAUUGAUGUCGAGGAAGAUGACGGGAGAUUGCAGGGGAUCCAAAAGGUAUAAGGAGGGGAAAAUAAAUGAGGUUUCAGUUCUUGAGAUGAAAAGACCAAAUACCAAUUUUGACUGGGAAUCGAUUGGAGGUAAGUCCUAUGUCCUAGAAACAUCAUCUAAUUGUGAUUUCAACACCUAAAUUCAUGGAAUUUGAUUAAAAAGGGAAGAAGUAGGACUUGGGUUUUUUAUAUCCCAAACUGGGAUUUGAUAGGUCAUUUGAGCUCGGAUUUGGGAGUUCUUGGUAUGUAUGGACUCGUGGAAACGACAUCGUUCCUUAGUGAUUUUUGCACCGGUUCGAGGUAAGUGGUUUGUCUAACCUUUUGUGGGGGACCUCUCCCCUUCGGAUCUAUUAUUUGUUAUUUUAAAUUCCAAGUAACUGCGGCGUUCAAUCCGAUCCAUUUAAUGUCGACGGCGCGCACUGGGGUGUGUACAGACUCAGGAGGGGCUCCUACAGCACAAGCGCAAUAUUAGCCAGGUAUUGGCAUAAAACAGGUUCUUGGCCUCAAUAUCAAUAUAUACCAUCGCUACAGCAUGUAGCCCGAGCCAUAUAUUCAGAAAUCACUAUAACAAUGCUGAGUGCGCAGCCCGGUCCAUGUUCAGUCCAGAAAUGCACAUAAAACACUUGGAAAAUAUUAACAUGAUAAUCUUCAGUUCAAAUGUCAAUAAAAUAUUGUUUAAGUUUUCAAAUCUGAGAAAAAUGGCUGAAUUUGCAAAACAAUAUUAAAACUUUGGACCAAGAUCAAAUAAUAUGCAAGUAAUGCAAAAACAGUAAUAUCAAUCCUCGAAGGGUUCUCAUAGUUGGCACUAAGUCCAAACAUGGCAAUCCACCCAAAUUACGAUGAUAAUAAAUAAUUUCAGUCAAAUACGCGGGAAAAAUCAACCACCGGGACGGACCAAGUCACAAUCCCCAAUGGUGCUCUACCCUACGCUCAUAUACGGCAUGCAAAUCACCUCAAUACAGCACUAUGACGUGCAAAUACGGAGAUUAGAACCCUCAGGAUAUCAUUUACAAGUAUUACUCACUGAGUUGGAGUACUCACUUUACUCCCUCCACCUCGCGUGCAGUUGCAGGUAUGGUUCGCCCGGAAGUGGGUUAUUGGUGGAUUGAAGAUUUUUUGUCGUAGCUGAGCCAGGUGACCGCUAAUGUCCGCGGCAUCGUAUCUUCUCCCUUAUUUUAGGUUAUUCAUGUUAUUUUCGGACUUAGUUCCCAUUUCUAGACUUUUAGCUCUUUAGUGGACUCUGUAGUAGCUCAUGUCUAGUGACACCCCGAUGUUGGGAUGUGACGGGAUGGUUCCUGUUGUUUUUGUGGUUUUUCGCACUUUUGAUUAUGCUAAUCAUGUUUUAGCCUUAUAAAUUUUAAAUAACUGUUAACAAGGAAGAGUUUGUUUUGUUGGCUGGCCUCGUCCUCACGAGAGGUGCCAUCACGACCGGGUUAGGGAUUUGGAUCGUGACAAGUGUGAAUUAUGUAAGUGUACUUCACUUCUUACUUCAAAAUAUAGAUUACACCUAGAAUAUAUACACUAAUCUAGUGACAUAAUUCAAAAAUGUAUCCCUAAGAUCAUGGCUUUUACCCACAAUCUUUGACUAUACAAUGACACACAAUCUAACAUACAUUCUAGUAUUGAAAUACUCUCGGACAAGAUCUAAGUCUUAACAUUCCCCCCUCAAGCAGGAGCAUACAUGUCAUAUGCUCCAAGCUUGCUACAAAUGUAUUCAAUCCGAGCCCUUUUAAGGGACUUAGUAAGAUCAUCUACCAAUUGGUCAUUUAAACAGACGAAGCUAGUGAUAAUGUAUCCAGACUAGAUCUUCUGUCUAAUAAAAUGACAAUCCACCUCAAUACGUUUCGUUCAUUCAUGAAAAACAAGAUUUGAAGCAAUAUGAAGGGAAAAUUUAUUGUCGCAUAUAAGCUCCAUGUGUUUGAACUAAGCACAUUGUAACUUUUGGAAGAGUUGUUUCAACUAAAUAAUCUCGCAUGUAGCAAUGGCCAUAGCUCGAUAUUCUGCUUCCGCCCUAGAUCCGACAACAACAUCUUGCCUUUUGCUUUUCCAAGAAAUCAAAUUUCCAUGAAACAUGAUACAGUACCCAGAAGUAGAGCGUCUAUCUGAUGGAGAACUUGCCCAAUCAGCAUCAGAAUAUCCAACAAUAUUUGUGUGACCUUUGUCUUUAUACAAUAGCCUUGUCCUGGGGCCUUUUUGAUGUAUUUUAGAAUGUGAAUACUGCGUCCCAAUGGUUACAUGGAUCUUGGAGAAACUAACUAACCAUACUUACUCAAAUGAAAUAUAAAGUCGUGUGAUAGUACGAUAAUUCAGCUUGCCGACUAGUCUUUAAUAUCUACCGAGAUCAUUUAAUGGCUCCCUCUGUCCAAGGACGAGUUUGACAUUUGGAUCCAUAUGAGCGUCAAUAGGUCUGCAUUUAACAUGUAUGUUUCCUCAAGUAUGUUUAAAGUAUAUUUUAUUUGUGAGAUAGUUAUACCGAUCUUGGAUUGUGCUACCUCAAUUCCCAAAAAAUACUUUAACUUCCCUAAGUCCUUGGUUUGAAAGUGGCUAAAUAGAUGUUGUUUUAGCUCAUAUAUUCCUUCUUGAUCAUUUCCAGUUAUGGAUAUGUCAUCAACAUAAACAACCAUAUAAAUGUUCUUUUCAGGACCAUUAUGUCGAUAGAAAAUGGAAUGAUCCGCUUCACUUCGAGACCUCCCAAAUCUACCAAACCAUGCUCUCGGAGAUUGCUUAUGGCCAUAUAGUGAAUGUUUCAGAUGGCAUACUAAGUUUAACUCCCCCUGAGUGAAAAAACCGAGGAGGUUGCUCCAUAUAAACUUCCUUAGCAAGCUCACCAUGUAAGAUAUCAUUCUUAUUAUCUAGUUGAUGAGGCGGUUAACGGUUCAUUGUUGCUGAAGAGAUGAGUAAUCGAACAGAUGCAGUCUUGGAAACUGUAGAGAAUGUGUCACCAUAGUCAAGACCAUAAAUCUAGGUAUAUCCAUUAGCAAUAAGGAGAUAUUUAGCCGAUCAAUUGUUCCAUCUUAACCUACCUUUACUGUAUAGAUCCUUCGACAUCCAAUGGUAGAUUUUCCUUCCCGUAACUGUACCAAUUCCCAAGUGUUAUUUUUAUCUAGAGUAGUCAUUUCUUUUAUCAUAGCACCUUUCCACCCUGAAUGUUACAAUGCCGACAAUCUUUGGAAUAGGUUCAUUAGAUAAAUCAAAUACAAAGGUAUAACAUAAUAGGGACAAUCAAUGAUAACUUAAUAAGUUUAGUCAUACUAGGUUUUGAGUGGUGUGUAUGCCUUUGUGUAUGGCAAUUGGUGGAGUUAUUUAAUAUGAUGAAGGCAUGACUGGUGUAGGUGACAUAGGAGCAUGAGAUGAGUCAUCGGGAGCUACCAAUGUAUUCAAAUCAGGGGUAGUGCUAUCAUUAGUAUUAGCUAGAGGACUGGCACGUCUGGAGUAUACUUGGAGAGCAAGAGGAGAGACUUGAGGUAUGUCCUAAUGACUAACUUGCAGCACAAUAAGUAUUGGCACAGCAAAACUUCAGGCAUCUUCGCUGAGAAUAGGGAGAUGUCUUAAAGAAUGUUGCAUCUACAAAGAUCCAAUAUUUAUGUUCUUUUGGAUCAUAAUAUUUAUAACCUAUCUGGUAACAAAAGUAUCCAAGAUAGAUACGCUUAAUUGACUUUGGUUGGACUUUGUCGUUUCUAGAACAGUGACCAUGAACAAAGAAAGAACAUCUAAACACUUUAAAAGAUGAAUGAUAGGGAUUUUGACAUGGCAAGGGAAUUGAGUGAAGACUUUGAUAUAAUAAGAUAGAAAUAAUCAAAUAGCAAGCAGUGAGAACAAUAUCUCCCCAAAAACUAAGAGAAAUGUAAUGGUGCAUAAGUAAAGUACGCGCAGUUUCAAUGAGAUGAUUUUUACGUUCGACGACUCCAUUUUGCUGAGGAGUAUGUGCACAAGAAGUCUGAUGAGUAAUUCCUUGAGAUGACAUGAAACUAGUGAAGGAAGAUAAUAAAUACUCCUUUUCAUUGUCACUAUGUAAUACCUUUAGUGAAACAACAAAUUGAUUGUAUACCUCAACACAAACAUUUUGAAUAAUAGAAAAAAAUUCAUAACAGUUUUUCAUUAAGAAUACCCAUGUGCAGCGGGAGAAAUCAUUAAUAAAGGUAACAAAAUACUGAAAUACUAUACUUGAAACAACACGACUAAGACCCCAAACAUCUGAGUGAACAAUGUCAAACAUAGAUGAAGACCUAUUAUUGACUCUUUUGGGAAAUGAGGUGCAAAUGUGUUUCCCAAGCUGAAAAGACUCACAUUCACAAGACGACAAUGAAGAAAGACUAGGAAUUAAUUUCUUAAGCUUUGCAAGACUCGGGUGGCCUAAACGACUAUGGAGUAGAUUAGUUAAUACAAUGGAAGUAAAGGAAUCUAGUGGUUGUGAUUUGGACAUAUGAUAUAGUGCUUGUAACUCAUAUCAUGUUCCACUCAUCUUUCAUGUUUUCUAGUCAUGUAUAACAACAGAAUUAGCAAAAAAACUAAUAGAACAAUUAAGUUUUUUGUUAAUUUACAAAUGGAAAAAAUCGAAUAGGCAUUCUGGAGAAAAUAAAACCGAGGUUAAAGAGAUAGAGGGAAGAAGUUACACUUCUCCUAUUCCUUUUACUGCAAUUCGUGAGCCAUAAGCGUGGCUAACCGUAGAGACGGUUGAAGAAGGAACGAGGUAUUAGAAAAGAUUUUGAUUACUAAGAGAUAUGGUUAGAUGCACCAGAGUCCAGUAUCCAUGGGCAAUUGGGUAAAGACCCAAUCAGACAAUCAAAGGGAUUACCCGUUUGUGAGGUUUCAAAUGAGAGUGACUAUUGUUUAGCCGCCUGAUAUACAAGUAAUCACUAUAAUCUACCCCAUAUAAAGUAAUAGAAAAAACAUGUCGAUAAUCUGUUUCACCACCAUUUUGAACUAUGUGGGAUGUACUGCGAUUGUUUGUACGUUAUGGUCGACCAUGAAGUUUCCAAUAAGGUUGUCGAUGUGACGACCCAACCCGUUAUCUUACGUGUUUCUAUUCCUUUUCCAGUAUUUUAUGUUUUAUCAUGUUUCAUUAUCGGUAUUUGAUGUGUUAGAGUUAUCUCGGAUUGGUUUUGGAAGAAAAUGAGAUACUUAGUCUCUUUAAGGAAGGUUGGGUUGGAAAAGUCAACUGGAUUUCGACUUAUGAGUUAGAGAACCCAUAUGUGAUUUUCGGUGAUUCGGUUAGCUUGGGGGUGAUUUGUGACAUAGGAGUGCGAUCUAAAGUAUUUUUGGAGGUCAGAUGUAGAAUUAGGCUUGAAUUAGCGAAGUUAGUAUUUUGGUGAUUUUUGGUUGUUAGGUUACUUUUUUAUCCAAGGGUCGAAAUGGAAUUCUAUGAGUUUCAGUAGCUUCGUAACAUGAUUUGGGAUGUGUGUGCAAAAUUUUAGAUGAUUCAUAGGUGUUUUGUUCGGGUUUUUUAUCAAAUUUGUGUUUUAGAAAUUUUACAAGAACUUAGGCUUGAAUCCGAUGUAAUUUGGUUGUUUUGUGUUGUUUGUGGUGUUUUUAUGAUUGGAAAAAGUUCAAAUGAUGAUUUAGGAUGGGUUGUAACUUUUGGUUGCGGUCCUAGGCGCUUUGGGGUAUUUUCGAAUGGCCAACAAGGUGAAUUUUUGACUUGUUGCAUUUCAGAAAUUUAUGGUAUAUGGUAUUUCUUCAUCUGCAGAAAAGGGACCGUAGAUGCAGUUCUGCAGAUGCAGUAAGGUAGGUCGCAGGUGUGGAUUUGACCAGGUUGGAGAAUCUCGCAGAAGCGAAUUUAUUCCGCACAUGCGGUGUCCGCAAGAGCGAAAAAUGACCACAGAAGUGGUCCUGUUUAAUUGUAAAGAAUCCGCAUAAAUGGAGAAAUAUCCGCAUAACCGAUAACCGCAAAUGCGGUAUCUGAGUUACAUAAGCGAAAAUAGGCCUGGGCAGAAGGGUUUUAAAAUAAUAUUUUAUUCUCGAGCUAAGUGUAUUUUUCACUAUUUUUUAAUAACCUUGAGAGCUUUUUGACGAGAAUUAAAGAUGUUUUCGGCUGGGAUUGAUUGAAGAUGAGUCUUAUGACCUAGAAACAUCAUUUAAGUUAAGAAUAAACACUUAAAUUCAUGCAAAAUUGAUUAAAAGGGGAUGAAUUAUGGCUUGACUUUUUGAAUGGAAAAUUUGGAUUUGAGGGAGCAUCUGAGCUCGAAUUUUGGAGUUUUUGAUAUGUGUAGACUCAUGGCGAGAUAAGGAGUCCAUUGAUGAUUUUUGAGUUUUAAGAAGUGGGCACGGGACUCGGGUUUUGCAAAUUUUAUUAAUUUUGAUAUUUUGCGAGUCCUUUCGAUUGGGUUAUGUUCAUUUAGCCUAUUGUAACAUAUUCGUUGUAGUUUUGGUUGGAUUCGACGCGGUAGGAGGUAGAUUCGAGAGGAAAGGGCAUAGCGAGCUAGACUUUUGGCCAGCUAGAGGUGAGUAGUAAUUGUAAAUGAUGUCCUAAGUGUUUGAAACCUCGUAUUGCACAACGUAGUGCUAUGUUGAGAUGAGACACGCGCUCAAUGACGAGCGCGAGGUCAUUUACUAUUGGGGAUUGUGACUUGGUCCAUCCUUGUUGAUACUUUACCGCAUAUUGCCUAUGACUUGUUGUUUUCACCAUGCUUGGGCUUAUUGUCAAAUAUUGGAAAUCCUUUGCAAACUAUCAUCACUAUUUCCUCACUAUUUGAAAUACUACUUGAACUCAAUCCAAUUAAAUUAAAAGUUUCAUGAACUCAGCAAUUCUUACUCAAAUUUGAGAUUUAAAUGAUAUUUAAACUAGUAUUUGAGCUGAGCACUACUGUUUUACUCAUGCCCGGGGGCUAAUGAUUGUUUUUGGACUGGUUGAGACCGAGGGCCAUAUGUGAGGAUAUGUUGAGUGAUGUAGGAAGACUUUCAGGCAUCGAGUGUUAUUUGAGGAGGCUUUCAGGACUCGAGUGAUAUGUGAGGAGGCUUUCAGGCCUCGAGUGUGAUGUGAGAAGGCUUUCAAGCCUUAUGUUUAUAAGAACAUGCUUUUAGGCCUUAUAAUGAUAUAGCGUUUGGGCUGUAGGAGCCCCUUCGGAGUCUGCACACCCACAGUGAGUGCGAGUACCCAUGUGAUUUGAGAGUGAGCCCGAGGAGCUGAUGCUGUACUGAGUGACUGUUACUGAGCCUGCAGGGCUGAUAUUGUACGGAGAGGUUGAUAUUGAGCCAGAGGGGUAGAUUAGGAAUCAUUUCUUACUUGUUGAAAGCAUUUGCCUUUAAUUGUUUUAAAAGAAGAAUUAUUGAUAAUUCACUAUUUUUACUGCUUAACUGAUUUAACUGGUUGAGAUAGCGUUUCCUUGUGAAUUUAUGAGAUUUCAUGCUUUCAAUCAUUAUUUAUUCUUACUACUCACUUGGUUGGAGUACUCACAUUACUCCCUACACCGCGUGUGUAGAUACAGGCAGAGCAGAGUUCGCUCCUGGGCGCUGAUUCCUUCUCAGACUAGGCGGUGACUAGGAGUGAUGAGUUAGUUGUUGACGUCUGUAGCCCUGUUUCUCCCUAAUCUUCCAUUACUUAUGUUAUUUCCAGACUUGUAGUAUUUUAGCAGACUCUGUAGUAGCUCAUGACAUGUAACACCCCGAAUAUGGAUUGUGUCGAGAUGGUUUCCCUAUUUUAUCAUGUUUAUUUCGCACUUUUGAUAAUGUUGUUUAUGUUUUAGACUUAUUCAUGAUAAGUAAGUGUUAAAAGAAGAGUUAUUAUUCUGUUGGCUGGCCUUGUCUUCACGAGAGGCGCCAUCACAACCGGGUUUAGGAAUUGGUCCGUAACAAGUCGGUAUCAGAGCCUAGGUUACAUAGGUCUCACGAGUGAUGAGCAGGUUUAGUAGAGUCCCGCAGAUCGUUAUGGAGUCGUCUGUAUUUAUCCUGGAAAGGCUGCAGAACCUUUAGGAAAAACUUCAUAUUCUUGAAUUCUUGUCGUGUGAUUUUGUUGAUUCGAGAACUAAGCUUUUGUGUUGUAUUCUCUCGCAAAUGGAAAGGACUCGCGCUACUGGACGAGAAGAACAGUAACCAGUACCACCCACCAAUGGAACCAUAAGCUGUGUACGCGGUCGUGGUCGUGGUUGAGGUAGAGAAGCAAGAGCAGCACCUGUUGCUCCACAAGUUUCCCCGGCUCAGGAUCACGCUCCAGCUGCAGACAUUCAAAAAUCACCUGUUUAGGCACUAGCGGUGCUAUUGUGAUUCCGAGCCUUCAGGAGGCCUUGGCUCAGAUAUUAUUAGCUUGCACUAGCCUGGCUCAGACAGUUUCAGCCACUACCGCAGCAACUACUUCUCAGGCUAGGGAAGGCAAUCAGACCCCCGUUGCUCGCACACCUGAGCAGGUAUUGCAUGUAUUACAAACACCGGGAGCACCACCAGCUCAGUCAGUUGCACCAGUUUAGGACUUUGUGGUUCCAGCUAUACCAGACGAUGAGUAGUGUUGUCUUGAGAGGUUCAAUAGGCUCCAGCCUCCUUCGUUCAGUGGUUCUCAGGGCGGGGAUGCCCAGGCUUGUCUCGACAAGUGUAAGAGUAUGCUUCGGACGACAGGGAUUUUGGAUUCGAGUGGUGUAGAAUUUACCGCAUUUUAGUUCACUGGAGCUGCCUUCAAUUGGUGGGAGACGUAUGAGCGGCAAAGGCUGGCAGAUGCAGUGCCUUUGACUUGGAAGGAGUUCUCCACUCUCUUCUAGGAGAAGUGGGUACCGCAGUCUCAGAGAGAGGAGUUGCGUAGACAGUUUGAGUGGCUUGGAAAAGGAGAUAUGACUCUGACCCAGUAUAAGGUUAGGUUUUCUGAGUUGGCUCGUCAUGCCUGCUGGAUAGUUCCGACUGAUUGGAAAAGGAUCAAGAGGUUUAUGGAUGGACAUAAUUAUCACCUUCAUGUUCUGAUGAUUCGAGAGAGAGUUAUGGGUAUUUCCUUUGAGGAUAAAGUUGAUAUUGCUCGCGAUAUUGAGAGGACUUGCCGUCAGAUAGAGAGGAGAGGGAGGACAAGAGGCCUCAAGGUUCUGGUAGUUUUAGUGAUUCUCCGUCUAGGGGCCACUUCCAGCAUGGCAGAGGUCAUUCUUAAAGAUCUCCUAAGUUGGCUCGUCCCGAGUAUCAUUGGGCAUCUACAGACCAUGGUCAUCAAGGGUUUAAGCAAGGCCAGUGCUCAGUCAGCGCCCUUCUAGCUCAGAGUUAUUCGCAUGCCCUCUCUGUUCAGGGUUUUUCCGCGCGAGUGCAUUAACAAGUGACUCUGGUGCGAGGGGUUCCCUUCAGUCCCAUUCUCCAGCACUAGGGAGUUGUUAUGAGUAAGGAGAGUUUGGACACAUGUGGCGGCAGUGUCCUCGUCGUGCUGCCAGUUCAUCACAGCAUAGAGGUUAGCCCUCGUCUUCUGCUCCUGUUUCUUCAGCACCCGCGCAGUCAGCUAGGGGUAGGGGUUAGGCAGCCAGGGGUCGUCCCAAAGGUGGAGGCCGAUUGGGUGGCGGUCAGGCUCAAUUUUAUGCUAUCCCAGACAUGACAGAUGCCCUUGCGUUAGAUGCUAUUAUCACAUAUAUUAUCUUAGUCUGCCACGUAGAUGCCUCUGUCUUAUUUGAUCCUGGUUCCGCCUAUUCUUGUGUUUCUUCAUAUUUUUCUCAUCAUUUGGGUAUGACCCGAGGGUGUCUUGCUUUACAUGUGCACGUAUCUACCCCGGUGGGCGAUACUAUUAUUGUAGACCAUGUGUAUCAGUCUUGUGUUAUGACUAUUAGGGGUCUGGAGACCCGAGUUGAUUUAUUGCUAUUGCACAUGGUGGACUUUGACAUUAUUCUGGGCGUGGAUCGGCUAGCUCCGUGUCAUGCUAUUCUAGGUUGCCAUACUAGCAGAGUCACUUUGGCUAUGUCGGGUGUUCCGAGGAUCGAGUGGCAUGGUGUGACUGAUUAUGUCCAUAGUAGAGUGAUUUCUUUCCUAAAGCCCAACUUAUGGUUGGGAAGGGUUGUUUGUCAUAUUUAGCCUUUGUUCGAGAUAUCAGAGCGGAGGCUCCUAGCAUUGAUUCUGUUCCACUUGUGAGGGAGUUUCCUCAUGUUUUUCCUGUAGAGCUGUCGGGCAUGCCACUAUACAUGGACAUUGAUUUCGGUAUUGAUCUGGUGUCGGGCACUCAUCCCAUCUCCAUUCCGCUCUAUCGUAUGGCGCCAGCGGAGUUGAAAGCGAAGCUUCAGGAACUCCUAAAUAAGGGGUUCAUUCAGCCUAGUGUGUCACCGUGUGGUGCACUUGUUCUAUUUAUGAAUAAAAAGGAUGGCACAAUGAGGAUGUGCAUUGAUUACAGGAAGUUGAAUAAAGUAACAGUGAAGAAUAAGUAUCCAUUGCCUCGUAUUGAUGAUUUAUUCAACCAGCUUCAGGGAGCAAGGGUGUUCUCCAGGAUUGAUCUCCAUUAGGGUUAUCACCAGUUGAAGAUCAAGGAUUCAGAUAUUCAUAAGACUGUUUUCAGGACUAGAUAUGGUCACUACGAGGUUCUUGUCAUGUCUUUUGGCCUGACCAAUGCCCCAACAACGCUCAUUCAUUUGAUGAACAGUGUAUUUCGGCCUUGUCUAGAUUAGUUUGUUAUUGUAAUCAUUGAUGAUAUUCUGGUGUACUCACGUAGUUAGGAGGAGCACGCGUAGCAUUUGCGAGUGGUAUUGUAGACAUUGAGAGGGUAGAAGUUAUAUGCAAAGUUCUCCAAGUAUGCGUUUUAGCUCAGUUCAAUGGCUUUCUUAGGGCACAUGGUGUCUAGCGAUGGUAUUCAAGUUGAUCAAAAGAAGAUAGAGGCGAUUCAGAGUUGGCCUAGACUUUUCUCAGCCACAAAGAUUUGUAGCUUCCUUGGUUUGGCGGGUUAUUAUCGCCGGGUUGUCAAGGGUUUUUCAUAUAUUGCCUCGCCCUUCACCAAGUUGACUCAGAAGGGUGCUUCGUUUGUACGGUCGGACGAGUGCAAGGAGAGAUUUUAGAAGCUCAAGACAGAUCACAACUCUAGUAUUGGUGUUACCAUAAGCCUUAGGUUCUUAUACCAUCUAUUGUGAUGCUUCGAGAGUUGGGAUUGGUUGUGUAUUGAUGCGGGAGAGUAGAGUGAUUGUAUAUGCAUCUCGUUAGUUGAUUCCCCAUGAGAAGAACUGCCAUGUUCAUGAUUUAUAGUUAGCUGCUACAGUUCAUGCUUUGAAGAUUUGGAGACACAAUUAUAUGGCAUAUCUUGUGAGGUAUUCAGUGAUCAUCGCAGUCUUCAGCAUUUGUUCAAGCAGAGAUCUGAAUUUGAGGCAGCGGAGAUGGAUGAAGUUGCUUAAGGACUAUGAUAUUACUACUUUGUACCAUCCGGGAAAGGCCAAUGAGGUGGCCGAUGCCUUGAGCCGAAAGAUAGUGAGUAUGGGAAGCUUGGCAUACAUUCCACUUAGGGAGAGGUUCUUUGCAGUUGAUGUUCAGGCUUUGGCAACCCAGUUUGUGAGAUUAGACUUUUCAGAACCCAGUCGGGUAUUGGCUUGUGUGGUUUCUCGGCCUUCCUUAUAUGAUCGCAUCAGAGAGUGCCAGUAUGAUGAUCCGCAUUUGCUUGUCCUCAAGGAUAGAAAUCAGCAUGGUGAUGCUAGGGAUGUGACCAUCGGUGUUGCUGGGGUUUUGAGAAUAGGGGGAGGAUUUUUGUGCCCAAUGUAGAUGGGUUUAGAGAGUUGAUUCUUGAGGAGGCCACAACUCGCGGUAUUCCGUUCAUCCGGGUGUCGCAAAGAUGUAUCAGGAUUUGAGGCAAUACUAUUGGUUGAAGAAAAUGAAGAAGGAUAUUGUGGGUUAUAUAUCUCUAUGUCUCAACUGUCAGCAUGUGAAAUAUGAGCAUCAGAGACCAGGGGGUGGGCCUCAGCAGAUCAUUAUUCUUUAUUGGAAGUGGGAGAGAAUUAUUAUGGAUUUUGUGAGUGGUAUUUCUCGGACCUCGAAGAAGUUUGAUUUGAUUUGGGUGAUUGUGGAUUGGCUGGCCAAGUCCGCACACUUCAUUCCGGUAUGUACUACCUAUUCUUCGGAGCGGCUGGCAGGGAUCUUUAUCCGGGUGAUCGUUCGGUUACAUGGUGUCCUAAUUCUAUUAUAUCAUAUAGAGGUAAUCAGUUCACUUCCUAGUUUUGGAGGACUUUUCAUCGAGAGUUGGGUAUGCAGGUGGAGUUGAGCACAACGUUUCAUCCUCAGACAGAUGGACAAUCCGAGUGUACUAUUCAAAUAUUGGAGGACAUGUUGCAUACCGGUGUUAUUGAUUUCAGAGGUUCUUGGGAUGAGUUCUUGCCACUUGUAGAGUUUGCCUACAACAACAGCUAUCAAUCCAGUAUUCAGAUGGCACUGUAUGAGGCCUUGUGUGGGAGACGGUGUAGAUCUCCAGUUGGUUGGUUUGAGCUCGACGAGGCUACACUAUUGGGGAUAGAGUUGGUUCAGGAUGCCUUAGAAAAUGUGAAGUUGAUUCAGGAGAGACUUCGUACAACUCAGUCACGUUAGAAGAGUUAUGCGGACCGGAAGGUUCGAGAUGUGUUUUACAUGGUAGGUUAUAAGGUCUUGCUAAAGGUAUCGCCCAUGAAGGGUGCUAUGAGGUUUAGAAAUAAAGGAAAGUUGAGUCUGCAGUUCAUUAGACAUUUUGAAGUACUCAGGAGGGUUGGAGAGGUGGCUAAUAUGCUUGCUUUUCCACCCAUCUUGUCGGACGUUUAUCCGGUAUUCAAUGUUUCUAUGCUCCGGAAGUAUGUUGGGGACCCAUCUCAUAUUUUGGACUUCAGCACAGUUUAGUUGGAUGAUGAUUUUGACCUAUCAUGUGGAGCCAGUAGCUAUUUUGGGUCAUUAAGUUCGGAAAUUGAGAUCAAAGGACAUAGCUUCGGUAAAGGUGUAGUGGAGAGGUCGGCCCGUGACGGAGGCUACCUGGGAGAUCGAGCGGGAGAUGCGGAGUAGAAAUACUCACAUGUUUCAGGCUUCAGGAAUGUUUCUUGACCCGCUCGAAGAUGAGCGUUUGUUUUUGUUGUGGAGGAUGUGACGACCCGGACCGUCGUUUCAUGUGUUACUGUCCCGUUUCCCCCAUUUUAUGCUUCUUCAUCCUUUGUUAUUGGUAUUUGGUGUGUUAGAGUUAACUCGGAUUGGUUUUGGAAGGAAAUGAGACACUUAGUCUCUUUAAGGAAGGUUGGGUUGGAAAGGUCAAUCGGUUGUCGACUUAUGAGUUAGAGAUCUCAGAUGUAAUUUCCGGUGAUUCGAUUAGCUUCGGGGGGGGGGGGGCUGAUUAUUCAUUUAGUAGCAUGAUCGGAAGUGAUUACAUUUCACUUNNNNNNNNNNNNNNNNNNNNNNNNNNNNNNNNNNNNNNNNNNNNNNNNNNNNNNNNNNNUGUUGAUAUGAGAUUAUUCAUUUAGUAGCAUGAUCGGAAGUGAUUUUUGAGGUCUGGUGUAGAAUUAAGUUUGAAUUGGCGAAGUUAGUAUUUUGGAAAUUUUCGGUAGUUAGGUGAGAUUUUUAUCUGAGGGUCGGAAUGAAAUUAUGAGUGUUGCAAUAGUUAGGUAAUUUGGGAUAUUUGUGCAAAAUUUCAGAUGAUUCGGAGGUGUUUUAGUCGGGAUUUUGAUCAAAUGUGUAUUUCGUUAGUUUUAGAAGAACUUAGGCUUGAAUCCGAUGAAAUUAGAUUGUUAUGGUGUUGUUUGUGGUGUUUUGAUGAUUGGAGAAAGUUCUAAUGAUGAAUUAGGAUGGGUUGGCACUUUUGGCUGAGGUUCCAGUGGCCUCGGGGUGAUUUCGGAUGGCCAACGGUGUGAAUUUUGGACUUGUUGUAUUUCAGAAAUUUCUGCUAUUUCCGCAUCAACGGAAAAGGGGCCGCAGAUGUGGUAAGGGAGGUCACAGAUGCAAAUUUGACCAAUUGGCGGGAAUCUCGCAGAAGAAGAUUUAUUCCGCAGAUGUGAUGUUCGCGGAAGCGGAAAAUGACCGCAAAAGCGGUCCUGUGUAAUUCUGAAGAAUCCGUAGAAGCAGAGGAAUAUCCGCAUAAGAGGUAACCGAAAAUGCGAUAUCUGAGUCGCAGAAGCGGAAAUAGUCCUAGGUAGAAGGGUUUUAAAAUAAUAUUUCAUCUGCGAGCUAAGGGUAUUUUUCACCAUUUUUGAACAACCUUGAGAGCUUUUUGACGUGGAUUAAAGAGGUUUUCGAUUGGGAUUGAUUGGAGGUGAUUCUUAUGACCUAGAAACAUCAUUUAUAUGAAGAAUCAACACUUAAAUUCAUGGAAAAUUGAUUAAAAGGGGAAAAAUUAGGGUUUUGACAUUUUGAAUGGAAAUUUGGCAUUUGAGGGAGCAUUUGAGCUCAAAUUUUGGAGUGUUUGAUAUGUGUAGAUUUGUGGCGAGAUAAGGAGUCCAUUGAUGUAUAAUUUAUUCAGUUUUGAGAAGUGGGCCUGGGGCUCGAGUUUUGCAGAUUUCAUGAAUUUCAAUAUUUUUGAGUCUUUUCGAUUGGGUUAAGUUCCCUUAGCCUAUUGUAAUGUAUUCAUUGUGGUUUUGGCUAGAUUCGAUGCACGAGGAGGUCGAUUCGAGAGGAAAGGGCAUAGUGAGCUAGACUUUUGGCCAGCUAGAGGUGAGUAAUGAUUGUAAAUGAUGCCCUGAAGGUUUGAAACACUGUAUUGCACAACAUAGUGCUAUGUUGAAAUGAGAGACACACUCAAUAACGAGCGCGGGGUCAUUUACUAUUGGGGAUUGUGACUUGGUCCAUCCCGGUUGAUACUUUGUCGAAUAUUUGCCUAUGACUUGUUGUUUUCACCAUACUUGGGCUUAUUGUCAACUAUUAGAAAUCUUUUGAACUAUCAUCACUGCUUUCUCACUAUUUGAAAUAUUACUUGAACUAAGGCUAAUUAAAUUACAUUGUUUCAUGAACUCAACAAUUUUUACUCAAAUUUGAUAUUUAAAUGAUAUUUGAACUAGUGUUUUAGCUGAGCACUAUUAUUUUAGUGAUGUCCGAGAGGCUUAUGAUUAUUUUUGGACUGAUUGAGUCUGAGGUCCAUAUGUGAGGAUAUGUUGUGUGAUAUGAGGAGGCUUUCAGGGCUCGAGUAUUAUGUGACGAGGCUUUCAUACCUCGAGUGAUAUGAAAGGAGGCUUUUAGGCCUCGAGUGUGAUGUGAGAAGGCGUUCAGGCCUUAUGUUGAUAUGAACAGGCUUUAAGGCCUUAUGUUGAUAUGAACAGGCUUUCAGGCCUUAUGAUGAGAUAGCACUUGGCCUUUAGGAGCCCCUCCUGAGUCUGCACACCCACAGUGAGCGCGGGUACGCAUGUUAUUUGAGAGUGAGCCCGGGGGGCUGAUGCUGUACUAAGUGAUUGAUACUAAGCCCGCGGGGCUAAUACUAUACUGAGAGGUUAAUAUUGAGCCCGAGGGGCAGAUUAUUGAUUAUCUCUCACGUGUUGAAAGUAUUUUUCUUUAACUAUUUUAAACGAAGAAUUAUUAAUACUUCAUUGUUUUUACUGCUUAACUGAUUUUACUGCUUGAGAUAGCGUUUCCUUGUGCAUUUAUGCCUAUGACUUGGUCCAUCCUGGUUGAUACUUUACCGCAUAUUUGCCUAUGACUUGUUGUUUUCACCAUGCUUGGGCUUAUUGUCGACUAUGGGAAAUCCAUUGCGAACUAUCAUCACUGUUUCCUCACUAUUUGAAAUAUUAUUUGAACUUAAUCCAAUUAAAUUACAAGUUUCAUGAACUCAACAAUUUUUACUCAAAUUUGAGAUUUAAGUGAUAUUUAAACUAGUAUUUGAGUUGAGCACUACUGUUUUACUGAUGUACGGGGGGCUAAUGAUUGUUUUUGGACUAGUUGAGACCGAGGGCCAUAUGUGAGGAUAUGUUGAGUGAUGUAAGAAGACUUUCAGGCCUCGAGUGUUACAUGAGGAGGCUUUCAGGACUCGAGUGAUAUGUGAGGAGGCUUUCAGGCCUCGGGUGUGAUGUGAGAAGGCUUUCAGGCUUUAUGUUGACAUGAACAUGCUUUCAGGCUUUAUAAUGAUAUAGCGUUUGGGCUGUAGCCCCUUCGGAGUCUGCACACCCACAGUGAGUGCGAGUACCCAUGUGAUUUGAGAGUGAGCCCGAGGAGCUGAUGCUGUACUGAGUGACUGUUACUGAGCCUGCAGGGCUGAUAUUGUACGGAGAGGUUGAUAUUGAGCCAGAGGGGUAGAUUAGGAAUCAUUUCUUACUUGUUGAAAGCAUUUGCCUUUAAUUGUUUUAAAAGAAGAAUUAUUGAUAAUUCACUAUUUUUACUGCUUAACUGAUUUAACUGGUUGAGAUAGCGUUUCCUUGUGAUGAGAGGUUGAUAUUGAGCCUGAGGGACAGAUUAGGAAUCAUUUCUUACUUGUUGAAAGCAUUUGCCUUUAAUUGUUUUUAAAGAAGAAUUAUAUAUAAUUCACUAUUUUUACUGUUUAACUGAUUUUACUGGUUGAGAUAGCGUUUCCUUGUGCAUUUAUGAGAUUUCAUGCUUUCAGUCAUUAUUUAUUCUUAUUACUCACAGGGUCAGAGUACUCGCAUUACUCCCUAUACCGUGUGUGCAGAUACAGACAGAGCUGAGUUUGCUUCUGAGCACUGAUUCCUUUUCAUACCAGGCGGUGACUAGGAGUGACGAGGUAGCUGUUGACGUCUGCAACCCCGAAUCUCCCUCAUCUUCCAUUACUUAUGUUAUUUCCAGACUUGUAAUAUUUUAGUAGACUCAAUAGUAGCUCAUGACUUGUGACAUCCCGAAUACGGGUUGUGUCGGGAUAGUUUUUCCGUUUUAUCACGUUUAUUCCGCACUUAUGAUAAUGUUGUUUAUAUUUUAGACUUAUUAAUGCUAUAACCAUUAAUAGAAGCGUUAUUAUUCUGUUGGUUGGUCUUGUCUUCACGAGACGCGCCAUCAUGACCGGGUGCGGGAGUUGGAUCGCGGCAGUCAAGUAUGUCCUGGCUUGUUUUAGUAGUUGCAGUAGGGUCUUCUGCUUUUACCUUUUCCUCUUUGAUAUAUUUUUUGUUUCUUUGGAUUUUUAUUUUGCUCAACUAAUACAGAUGUCUCCACUUUAUUAGUAUCAAGUAUUUUUAUUCCAAUAUGCAAUAGUCGAGCCCAAACCUAAAGUAAUGAAGGAAUUACCGAGCGUGCCAUGAUCUGGUCCUUUAUAGAUCUGAGAUCAGAUCAAAGUCCUUUUAGUGACAAAACCAUAAAGAACUUAUCUCUUUUUUGCUCCUAGGUGGUGGCACUUGCAGAAAAUAGCAUGACCGAGUCAAAUUGAUCUUUCAAAGUAUCUAUUUUUCGGAAAUAACUCAUCAUGUCUUGAUUAACAACAACAAAAACCCAGUAUAAUCCCAUUUGUCUUGAUUAUUCUGCUGAAAUUGUACUUUGUAUAUUUAUUUUAUAUCAAUCGUAUAUAAAGCUUUAGCUUUAGUCCAAACUUUUAUAGAAAUUUUACAUGACUGAAACAAGUUGAGUAAUUUAGGAUCUAAGGAGUUCCAUAAAAAAUUAUACAAUUGUGCAUCAACUCGGGGUCACUUAGUCUUUUCACUAGUAUUAAUUUUACUAGCAUUUUUGACUAAAUGAUCCUCAUAUCCCUGUCCUAUGAACCAAAUAUCAACUGAAGAAGAUCAUGGUGAGUAAUUAUUAUUACUUUGUAAUUAAUAGUAGUAAUAGUAGAACGAUUCAACAUUGGAGAGGAAAAUGGUUUAAAUUCUUCUGCCGUGGAGGACUCACCUGUCAUUUUGAUAUUUAAAUUUCAAGUAGGCAAAUGUACAAAAUAAUGCGGAAUAAAUGAUAAAAGUAAGAGCACUUUGUAAUGAAAUAAAAGAGUUAGUUGGCCAAGAAGUACUGUAAAAAUGGCUCCCACAUAUAAAGACAAGGCAAUAAAGUAUGACUUGAAAUAAAAAAAGCUUUACUUUGAAAAAACUUAUUAAAAUCAAAAUAUUACUCUUCUGCAUCAAACGAAAAAUUCUCUCUCAAGUGACCCACCAAAUCAAGACAAAAUAGAAUACUUUCUUUUCCUCUCACCAAAAUCACAAGAUCUGACUGGGAAAGGAGAUUACUAAUGGAGUGGGUAAGAGGGUAACAAGAUUUGAUCGAAAAUUAUUUCGGAGAUUUUAGAGAAUAUGAUGGGUAAGACCGGAAUAAAUGAUCGACCUCAUGUAUUUGAAAUGUAAGUCAGAUAUGGUAGAAAAAAUCUGUCGAAAAAGUGGAUGUCAAAAAAAGUAACCGGAAAAGGUGGUCGGAAAAAUCUGCCUAAGUAGUGACUACUGGACAAAGUAAUCAAAAAAAAGUAUUUGAGUCUCUAUCGAGAUCAUAGAGGCUCUGAUACCAUGUGAAUUAUGUAAGUGUAUUUCACUUCUUACUUCAGAAGAUAGAUUACACCUAGAAUAUAUACACAAAGCUAACGAUAUAAUUCUAAAGUGUAUCCCUAAGAUCAUGAUUUUUAUCCACAAUCUUUGACUAUACCAUCAGACACAAUCUAGUAUUGAAGUACUAUCUGAUAAGAUCUAAAUCUUAACAUAUAGAAACAAUGGGUAUUAUAUACAGAGAUAGGACGUAACAGAGUGACAAUGUAAGAUGAAUAAUAUAGACGCCGAUGUUCGAACAUUUUAGCUGCUCAAAUUGCAACGUGGAUAAUUCUCGUAAUAUAUAAUCAAAUUGUUUUUCAUAUUCUUCUUCGUAUUUUUUCAACAAGAGCUCUAUCUUCGUUCCCAUUUAUUCAUUGUUUUUCAUAUUCUUCUUCAGCUUUGGGUUCUUCCAAUAGUUAAUUUGGGUGGUUGGGAAGGUCUCCAGCAUGCCCUAUAUCCAAAAUCUUAAUAUAAUUUCAUGGAGUUCGUAAGAUAUUUGCUAUGAUUUUAGUUGGUUUUUACUUGCUAAUGGAAGAAGACAAAGAAACAAAGACAAGGAGGAACAAGGAGAAGACGUACUACUCAAUAACCAGCAUAUUAUGGAGCAGCUUAACUUGUUAAAGUUUGAAAUCCAGCACAAUAUAUAUAUAUAUAUAUAGAGUGUUUCGAAUUCUAACACAUUAUGAUAAAGUUUUACUUGUAAAAGCUCAAAAUUUCAGCACAUUGCACUGAAUUUAUUCUGUGUUUUAAGUAAGAGUAUUUUUUGUCCAAAUUUUAUUUCGCAUUAAAAAUAACUACAGUUUCGACUAAAUUUGAACGUGCUGUUAUUUUUAAGUAUCAGUCUAAAAAGUAGCCAACUGACUCUACUUUUACCUAGCACAAUGUGAUAUAUCACUUGUUGGGCUUUCUCACGAGUUAACCCAAGAUAAAUUGCUUAAAAUGGUGAAAAUUUCAUAGGAUCCUUACAUAAAUAGCCGCCAAUUUACUAUUUUGUUAGUUAUUGUCAGUAUACAUUGAUUAUACUUUCUCUCUCUUUCUCUCACUUCAUAUAUAUAUAAAUUCUUUGGUUAUUUUUAAUUUAAGUAAUUAAGUGAACUACUAUUUAGGUUAAUUCUUCAAAUUUUAUGGCGUAACUUAUUUAUAUGGGUAAAUUACUCUCUAUAGCAUCUAAAAUUUUUAAUAGCCCAUGUUUUGUACCACUUUCAAAAAAUGGCCUUUCGGCCCAAAAGUAUUGCAUAUAGUAGCCGAAAAGAUUGAGAAUGACAACAUAAGCGCAUGUAGCUCAGUGAAUAAAGUGCAUGUUUCCUAAGUUGAAGGUCAUAGGUUCUACCCCUGCCCGGCGCGAUAGAGCUUACCAUUUAUUUUUGCAAUGCAUAAAUAUUGUAUCCUAAGUUCGACAGUGUAUCCUUGAUGUAUAUUGAGCCUAUCUCGAGUGUGCACGCGUAUCUAAAGUGUAUAUAUUUGUGUACUCCAAAUAUUUUUUGUAUCAUGAAUGUAUAAUCUGUACGAACAAUAUAUCAAAAUUGCAUAUAAUGUGUAUUUUCUAAUAUGUAAGCGUAAUAUAUAUAAAUUAUAUACAAUUUUGUAUGUGUAAUAUGUGCAUACUUUGUACUUGGAGAGUAUCAUGUAUUUUGUAUAGCGACAGUCUUUUUUGUUUAUAUUUUGUAUAGUUACAUCUAUUGUUGUAUAUAUUUUGUAUAAUUUUUGGAUAGUGACAGUCUGUUUGUAUAUUUUUUGUAUAUUGACAGUCUAUUUUGUAUAGUAACAGUUUAUUUUGUAUAGCGACAGUCUAUUUAGUAUAUAUAUAUUGUAUAGUGACAGUCUAUUAUGUAUGUAUUUUGUAUAGUGACAUUCUAUUUGGUAUAUUUUUACAUUGAAAGCCAUUUUCGAAUAUUCCUCUUAUAUUAAGAACAAAAUAAGAAUAUAAAAAUCAGUAAAAUAGUAAGUAGAGUUUAAAUGAAAAACUGAUUAAGCCCUAGAUAUCAUAGGUAAAGACUCACAAUAAAGUGUUUAUUUUGCUGCAAAAGAAAGAAAAAGAGAGCGUUUACAAAAUGGAGAUCCAAAGUAUACUGUCUUUGAAUAAGAAAAAUAACAGAACCAGCCCUCUAAGAAGACAGAUAAAACCUUUAACAUGAUACAUGAGACAUAGUAUUAUUUAGAUAGCACAACUUGUAUUAGUAUUUUGACAUUUCAACCAAGGAUGACCACCAACAAAGGGACAAGUAUCAGAAUUUUGACCGCAACAACCAGUGAAGUGAGAAUUGCUCUUCUUCUCAGCUUCUUACUUGCUACCAAACCCUUGAGGCUGAUCUAUCAGAACAACUCAUAAGUACAUCAUUACAUCUCCUGAAACCAAAAUCCAACUGAAAAAUUUAUAUAACCAAGCCACAUGAUUCAUUUGCUCCCUAGUCCAUUUUUGCAAAUCCCAAUUUUUUUUUGGGUUAAGCUAAAGGUAAUGAAGUUUCACCCAUUCAUAUUUGGCCUAAAAGAAGAAGAAAUAUACUGUUGAAACAAAUUGUCAUUGUAUCAAAAGAAGAAGAAAAAAAUACACAGUUAGAACUUCAUUAUUUUGGAUAAAAAAAGAGGAUUUCCUGCUUGCUGAUGCCAUUUUCUAUCCAUUGUAUACAUGGAUUUGCUUGUUUCAAGCAUAACCCAGAACUUAGUUCUACAUUCACUUUCGACAAACAAAGAAAAGCAAAAGCAAAAUCCGACCUACCCGGAUGCGAACUAGUGACCUAUGGAUUAAGCAAACUCAUCUCCAGACCCCUGGUGAUUCAAAAAAUUUUUUUGUUGGAUGGAAUCGGUGAUUUGCAGUCAUGGCAUGGUCGCCUUUCUUUUUCGUGACCUGUCUUUGCACAUAUGAGCCCUGGUACCUUUUGGCUAGCCACUAAAAUUAUUUUUUUGCUAUAAAAUAUGUAAUGUAAUUUUGGGCUAUCGAAUGUUAUAGAUUUGCCCUGAGUGACUAUAUAUAAUAUUUGCUCUAUUUAUAUGCUCUCAUUUAAUCUGUAUUAACUAGUGGAAAAUUUCACAGAAAGCUACUCCUUCUCUUGUUAAGAACUUCGGCAAUACGUUAAAUGAGAGUCCUGAGAUCGACAACGUGUGCAAAUUGCACCAUUUACUAUCCAAUUACUAACUCAAUGCCCAUACAACACUACCAUUUAGAGUCUAAUUACCACGUAACUAUAAUUUGCCUGAUUGACAUUCCAUUACUAUAAAUUCGAAAAAAUUGUCUAAAAAAUAGAUCAAGUAGGUCGGUAAUGACCAAUAAUCGUCCAAAAUGUGAUCAUUAGUAUGUGGUCAAUAUUUUGAAGGUCAGAAGGGCAUACCGAUCAAAGUUGGUUGGUAAUUACCGAUAAACUUUGGGCAGUCAAUUAAAUUAAAAAAAAUAUUUGUCGGUUUUUUCGGCUAAAGUUAGUUGGUGUUUUACUUGUGUAAUUAAAAAAUACAUCAUCUGGAAAUCGAACUGGGUUCUGUACUAUGGCAUGAUACUAUUCUACCACUAGACCAUUGGUUUAUUUUGUUUUAAGACUAUCUUUUAUUUUAUUUAUACUUAUUAAUUAUAUUUUCACAAAAUAACCGAUCUUAGUUUUAUUAAAAAAUAAAAUUACCUACCGAAAUCGGCCAAUUUUUCAAAAUGACCGGCCGAAUUAGCCGACUGAUUUCGGUCAAUUUUUUAAUAUUAAUUUUAAAUAAAAAAUUGACCAAAGUUGGUCGAUUUAUUGAAAAAUAAAUUUUACAUGACUCAAAAUAAUUUUUCGCAUUUUGCGCCAAAGAAAAUCGACCAAAGUUGGUCGGUUUGGUAAAAAAAAAUUUAAAAUAAAUUAUUUUUAAAAAACCGACCGACUUUGGUUGGUUUUUUGUCCCACCAAAAUUGGUCGGUCGACCGUGAUCGAUUUUUGUCAAAUUUCUAGUAGUAUCCAUAACUACUGUUUGAUUGUUACCAGCUUGUAUCACGUGUAUUCCGACGUGUAACAAUUACAACUCGUGCCAACUGUUUCAUGCAAUGAAUACAACCUAGGUGAAUUAUAAAAAUAGAAUGCUUUCAUUGAGAGUCGAGCUCAAGACCUCCGCUUACUGAGCAGAUGGUCUAACUAACUGAGUUACGAGAACUCACUGAUCUCUUGUUUCAGUACAAAAUAAUUAAUCUCUUGUUUUAAUACCACAUGUGGAUUGGAUAUAAAAAUUAAUUAUAGCUACAAAUGGUAAUUUUCUAAAAUUGUAUCCUCGAAUGAUAAAAAUAUUAUGUUGGUUGUGUCGAGUAAAUAUUUCUUCAUGUAUAAGGAAUUUCGAACUCCAACAUUUCAUGAUGGAGUUUUAUUUGUAAAAAUUCAAAACUCCCAAUAUAUUGUGUUAGAUUUGUUAUGUAUAUUAAGAAUAUUUCCGUCCAUAAUUUUUUCCGCAUUAAAACUAAUUAUUUUUGAUAACGUUUGAAUAUUUGACUAUUUUUAACAACCAGUUGAAAAAUGGCCAACCCAUGCUAUUUCUAAAAGCAAUCUACCGCCAGCUUUUCCAAAAAAUUAAAUUUCAGACAAAAUUAAUCCUCUUGUUAAGAACUUCGACUAUGUCUUAAAUGGGAGUCUUGAGGUCGUCUAUGUGCAAAUUGCACCAUUAACUGCGUCCAAAUUCUAACUCAACUUCGACAAAACAUUUUUUUUCUACUUCAAAUUCAUUUUCAAUUUCAAAUAUUGUCCAUCUCAGUAUAGCAAUUUCCUGGCUCUUUCAAUCUCUAUGAGCUUCAUUGACUGCUUUGGAACUUUUAAGGGUGACAACGUUUAGUGGGGUUUGGAUGAUUUGCAGUUGUUGAGACAAGGGGGGUCGCCACCAUAUUUUUAUAUAAAAGUGAACACUUAUUAAAUAUCAAAUGGAAAGAAGUAAAAUCAGCGGUUUUAUAUAUGCUCCCUUAAAUUUUUAAUCGAACGUUUAAAGGUGAGGAAUUAAUUGGAAGUUUAAGUAUGUGCUAACUUGAAAUAAACGUGACCAUAUAAUUAAACAAGAACUGAAUAAUGAUGUAACUUCCAUAUGGAAGAGUGACAAUGGUUAGGCUUCCUUAGUCACAUAUUUCAUUUGGAAUUGUUUUUUGCAUUACACUCCAUAUGGACACUAAAAUAAUAACAUGAUAUGUACCACUAAACUUUAUUAUUCAGUUUUAGUUCAUUAAUGUUGUUUGACUAAAAAGUUACAUAAAUACUUUUUAGGCCUGGGACAAUCGAAAUUAAUGAAGAUUAAUAGAGGCGGCUUUUCCAUAAAGCAAGUAAAGCAAUUGCUUUAGACCCCAUAUUUGUGGGGGUCCAAUUUUUUUGUUGGACCUAAUAGAUUAUGUAAAAGUUUAAAAAAAGAAUUAAUUAUGUAAAGAGAAAAACUUUGAUUUCUUUCUUAAACAAAUAUAGAGAAGAAUGAUUUGCAACUGCUAUGAUUUAUACCAAGAACAUGGUGUUGAAAUGGAUAUCGAACCCGAAUUUCGCAAGAAAUAUGUGAUAUAUAGCAAGUAAUAAUUUUAUUCCAAUAUUGAUAAAAAAUCACAGAAUCUUUCGAAGAUUCUUUUAGAGUUGAUUACUUUUAUACAUAAUAUAAAAGACUAUUUUUUUCAUUUCAAAAUAGAUUUAAACAAUUCGAAACAUAUGAAAAUAUUUUUAGUUUUGUAUUUGACAGUAAAAACUAAGAUCACUAGAUGUUGAAAAUUUGAAAAAUAUAUUGCCUUAAUCUUGAAUGUUCCUUAAAGCAUAAUAAUCAAUUCGAUAUUGAUGGUCUAGAUUUAUUUUCUGAAUUAAAAGUAUUAAGAAAAUAUUACAAUUAGAAGAUAACAGUUUAAUUGAUACACUUAAUUAAAUAAAAAGAUAUAAUUCUUUUCCAAAUGUCUAAAUUGCUUAUGAAAUAAUGUUCAUAACUCAUGUUACCGUCGCUUCCGCAGAAAGAAGUUUUCAAAAUUAAAAUUGAUAAAAUCUUACCUAAGAACAACAAUGUCACAAGAAAGGUCAAAUGGAUUAGCUAUGCUGCCAAUUGAGAAAUAAUUAUUAGGAGUUUUUAAUUUUAAAAAAAUUAUUAAUUACUUUGUAUCUAAGAAAAACUUAAAAAAUAGACUUCAAAUAAAUAAUUUAAAAAAAUUAAAAAGUUAAGGCCCCUUGUAAAGUUUGGCUUUAGGCCACAAAAUCCGUCGGGCCGCCCCUGAAGGUUAAUCGGAAUGAAGACUAAUAUGAACUAGAGAAAACCGUUUUGUUAAGAUCUGUGAUAAUAGUGAAGAUAGCUUAAGAUGUAAGAACAAUAAAGCAAGUAAUAAUCUUUUCACAAGAGAGAGAUAGAGAGAGAGUUGUAUAUUCUUAAUAGCAAAAUACACAUGAGUCUUUAUAAAGGGAAGGUUCCCCUUUAUAUAUUAAGAGACCUUCCUCGAAAUAAUCAAAGAAAAGUACAAGGGUUGGUGGUCUCAGUCUACACAUUUACAAAGGAAAGAUCCCCUUAUAUAUUAAGGGACUUUCGUCGAAAUAAUCAAAGAAAAGUACAAGGGUUGGUAGUCUCAGUGUACGGGAGGGUCAGAGCUUUAAGAGACAUCAUCUUGAGUAAUGUCACUUGGUCCGUUCGUUUACUUGGGCCGACCUUAUUCGAGUCGGCCUCAAUUAAAUCGUUCUCUAUGUCAAAGGCGUGCAUAAAUAACAUAAGAAUAUAGGGAACCAAAUUUACCCAAUGCUUAAUUAAUUUAUUAAUUAGUCAUGAUAGAGUAGCGUAAGUUUUCUCUCCAUUCUUAGACACCAUCACUUCAAGCCAUUUUCAAACAAAGGUUAAGUUAUAGAAACUGAUAGUACAGAAUACUUUUGCACAGUUGGUGUAGUUUUAUCUACUAUAACAAGUUAGUUACCAUUUUAAUCAGUAGAAUUUAACGUGUGAUAUAUAUUAACAACAUGAAUAGUUCAUAUAUAUACUCUUUCAAUGUAUUAUACCGUGUUAUAUAUGUAGCAAGCAAUCUGACUUAUUUUUAUGCUAUAUACUAAAUCCACUUAUUAACAAGAUUAUUUUUAGCUCUCUUUUAGGAAACCUAAUAAUAUAAAAGUGCAUAAAAGUUAAACUUUGCUAACUAUUUCCCCUGUUUCAAUUUAGACAACACAAUUUACUUAUCGAGAGUCAAUUUGACUAAAUUUUGAAACUAAAUUAAAUUGUUUUAAUUUGGUAUUUUAAAUUUAAAAUUUAGAUAUACAAAAACUACACAAAAAGUAUCUAUAAGUUACAUUUUUUCUCAUAUCAAUAUGAUAACAAUUUGAUUCUUGAUAAGUGAAGCGUGUCAUCUAAAUUCAAACGGACGAAGUAACAAUUAUCAUGAAUAUUAACGUAUAAUCACCUUAUAAGUAACGUAACCAGAUAAAUGAUUUCAUUGUAUUUGUGCAUAAAUUAAAAGGUAAAUUGUUCAUACAAACCCACCUUUUCCGAAGACAACUUGCUUUGCCUACCCAAAAUUGACCGCCCCUUUUUAAUUUCAAUUUCUAGCGCUGCAUUUUGGGCCAUCAACAGAAGUACUUUUCAAAACUCAACAAAUGACAACACGUCAAAAAUAGUCGUUUAAUAAUAUUUCAAGAAGCACGCUAUGAAACUCACAUGAACUAUCACCGAAACCACCUGCGCUAUGCACCUUUCAUUCUAUUUAUACCCUCAAAGCCCACACAAUUCCAGCAAAAAAACACACACACACACACAACAUGGAAAGCAAAUGGAGAAUUUUCAGAAAUCAGCAACAAAUCAACAAAGCAAAGCCCUGUACUAUGUUAUGCAAAAAGCAUUCGAAACACCAGCAAUCGCCAGGGGUUUGCUCCCUUUGUCUAAGUGAAAAACUCUCUAAGCUUUCAAAAACUUCACGUAGCAAUACUACAACAAUUACUUCGUCUUGUUCUUCAUCCUCAUCUUUGUCUUCUUUAUCUUCCUCUUCCGAUGUUUCGUCGUGUUCUUCUCCGUCAUAUCGCAGGACGAAAACUAUAGCUAUCUUGAGAAGUGGUAAUAAGAGUAAUUGUGUGCUUACAAAGAGUAGAUCACUGGUUUUUGUUACGAGGAGGGAAGAAGGAGAAAUGGAAGAUAACGGAAAGAAGAAGAAAAGAGGGUUUCUGUCUAAAUUGCUGCAUCCAAGGAAAAACAAGAAAAAUGAGGGUUUGGUGCAUUCAAAAACUACUAGAGAAAGGUUAACAACAUGAUCAGAGUCGAAUUCAGAAUUCAAGUUUUAUGAGUUCGGGUUUAAACUAUGACAGUCAAUUUGAUUUAUUGGAAAUGAAUUCUAUUAUUUGUACUUAUUUAGUGAAUAUUUAAACAUUUAUACAUGAUCCGUUCCAUAGUAUGCUGGUUUCGAAUGAACUCGUAUCGUGUACACUACAUCCACAGUUUGAUUCAUCAGAAUUAAUGCAUCAUAUGAGAUGAUUUAAUUUAGAACCUAUUGUCUUCAUUUUAUUAAACCAUCAUAUAAUACGAUCUUUUUGUUGCCUCUCAGAUUUUUACUUUUCUUUUAACGAGAUCUGUAGUAUUAUUAUUUUGUUUAGGUAAUUUUAGACAUAUCAAGGUAAAAUGUGAAAACGUAGCUGUACACAGUCAUACAGAGGAUGAAGGGAAUAGAGACAGAAACAUACACAUUUUGGGGAAGGUCUUGUAAAAAAAAUACAUAUAUAGUCAUGUAAGCAUAUCAUGUAAUUAUCUUCAAUAAGGAUAUUGUAGUGAAUCUUAUUGCAAGCCUUCUUUCGAUAAAGAGAAUAUAUUAGCUUUCC